rnacentral:rRNA from 1 species
UGGGAACCUUCCCUAUGGUUCGGAAUAGCUCAGGGAAACUUGGGGUAAUACCGGAUAAGCCCUUCGGGGAAAGAUUUAUCGCCAUUGGAUGGGCCCGCGUCGGAUUAGCUAGUUGGUGAGGUAACGGCUCACCAAGGCAACGAUCAGUAGCUGGUCUGAGAGGAUGAUCAGCCACACUGGGACUGAGACACGGCCCAGACUCCUACGGGAGGCAG